rnacentral:rRNA from 1 species
CGAUGCAAACUCCGAAUACCCAGAAGUGCCGAGCAUGGGAGACACACGGCGGGUGCUAACGUCCGUCGUGAAAAGGGAAACAACCCAGACCGCCAGCUAAGGUCCCAAAGUUGUGGUUAAGUGGUAAACGAUGUGGGAAGGCUUAGACAGCUAGGAGGUUGGCUUAGAAGCAGCCAUCCUUUAAAGAAAGCGUAAUAGCUCACUAGUCGAGUCGGCCUGCGCGGAAGAUGUAACGGGGCUCAAACCACACACCGAAGCUGCGGGUGUCACGUAAGUGACGCGGUAGAGGAGCGUUCUGUAAGCCUGUGAAGGUGAGUUGAGAAGCUUGCUGGAGGUAUCAGAAGUGCGAAUGCUGACAUGAGUAACGACAAUGGGUGUGAAAAACACCCACGCCGAAAGACCAAGGGUUCCUGCGCAACGUUAAUCGACGCAGGGUUAGUCGGUUCCUAAGGCGAGGCUGAAAAGCGUAGUCGAUGGGAAACAGGUUAAUAUUCCUGUACUUCUGGUUACUGCGAUGGAGGGACGGAGAAGGCUAGGCCAGCUUGGCGUUGGUUGUCCAAGUUUAAGGUGGUAGGCUGAAAUCUUAGGUAAAUCCGGGGUUUCAAGGCCGAGAGCUGAUGACGAGUCGUCUUUUAGAUGACGAAGUGGUUGAUGCCAUGCUUCCAAGAAAAGCUUCUAAGCUUCAGGUAACCAGGAACCGUACCCCAAACCGACACAGGUGGUCGGGUAGAGAAUACCAAGGCGCUUGAGAGAACUCGGGUGAAGGAACUAGGCAAAAUGGCACCGUAACUUCGGGAGAAGGUGCGCCGGCUAGGGUGAAGGAUUUACUCCGUAAGCUCUGGCUGGUCGAAGAUACCAGGCCGCUGCGACUGUUUAUUAAAAACACAGCACUCUGCAAACACGAAAGUGGACGUAUAGGGUGUGACGCCUGCCCGGUGCCGGAAGGUUAAUUGAUGGGGUUAGCGCAAGCGAAGCUCUUGAUCGAAGCCCCGGUAAACGGCGGCCGUAACUAUAACGGUCCUAAGGUAGCGAAAUUCCUUGUCGGGUAAGUUCCGACCUGCACGAAUGGCGUAACGAUGGCGGCGCUGUCUCCACCCGAGACUCAGUGAAAUUGAAAUCGCUGUGAAGAUGCAGUGUAUCCGCGGCUAGACGGAAAGACCCCGUGAACCUUUACUGUAGCUUUGCACUGGACUUUGAGCCUGCUUGUGUAGGAUAGGUGGGAGGCUUUGAAGCGUGGACGCCAGUUCGCGUGGAGCCAUCCUUGAAAUACCACCCUGGCAUGCUUGAGGUUCUAACUCUGGUCCGUGAUCCGGAUCGAGGACAGUGUAUGGUGGGCAGUUUGACUGGGGCGGUCUCCUCCUAAAGAGUAACGGAGGAGUACGAAGGUGCGCUCAGACCGGUCGGAAAUCGGUCGCAGAGUAUAAAGGCAAAAGCGCGCUUGACUGCGAGACAGACACGUCGAGCAGGUACGAAAGUAGGUCUUAGUGAUCCGGUGGUUCUGUAUGGAAGGGCCAUCGCUCAACGGAUAAAAGGUACUCCGGGGAUAACAGGCUGAUACCGCCCAAGAGUUCAUAUCGACGGCGGUGUUUGGCACCUCGAUGUCGGCUCAUCACAUCCUGGGGCUGAAGCCGGUCCCAAGGGUAUGGCUGUUCGCCAUUUAAAGUGGUACGCGAGCUGGGUUUAGAACGUCGUGAGACAGUUCGGUCUCUAUCUGCCGUGGACGUUUGAGAUUUGAGAGGGGCUGCUCCUAGUACGAGAGGACCGGAGUGGACGAACCUCUGGUGUUCCGGUUGUCACGCCAGUGGCAUUGCCGGGUAGCUAUGUUCGGAAAAGAUAACCGCUGAAAGCAUCUAAGCGGGAAACUUGCCUCAAGAUGAGAUCUCACUGGGAACUUGAUUCCCCUGAAGGGCCGUCGAAGACUACGACGUUGAUAGGCUGGGUGUGUAAGCGUUGUGAGGCGUUGAGCUAACCAGUACUAAUUGCCCGUGAGGCUUGACCAU